rnacentral:rRNA from 1 species
UGCAGUCGACGCUUCUUUUUCCACCGGAGCUUGCUCCACCGGAAAAAGAGGAGUGGCGAACGGGUGAGUAACACGUGGGUAACCUGCCCAUCAGAAGGGGAUAACACUUGGAAACAGGUGCUAAUACCGUAUAACAAUCGAAACCGCAUGGUUUUGAUUUGAAAGGCGCUUUCGGGUGUCGCUGAUGGAUGGACCCGCGGUGCAUUAGCUAGUUGGUGAGGUAACGGCUCACCAAGGCGACGAUGCAUAGCCGACCUGAGAGGGUGAUCGGCCACAUUGGGACUGAGACACGGCCCAAACUCCUACGGGAGGCAGCAGUAGGGAAUCUUCGGCAAUGGACGAAAGUCUGACCGAGCAACGCCGCGUGAGUGAAGAAGGUUUUCGGAUCGUAAAACUCUGUUGUUAGAGAAGAACAAGGAUGAGAGUAACUGUUCAUCCCUUGACGGUAUCUAACCAGAAAGCCACGGCUAACUACGUGCCA